rnacentral:lncRNA from 9 species
GAAACCUCACGCUGUGUUGAGCAACUACAAGUUUGUCAGCACCUUUGGCUGGAGCACAAGAGAGGGGAGACCUGAGGCUAGAGAAUCAGGCAGCUGGUCUUGGGGGGCCUGGGGUACUGUGGGACUGCCUAGGACUUGGGAGCCACUGAAGGCCAGCCUGCUGGAAGUAAGAUCUCUCUGGCUCCCGAGUGGAUAGAUGAUGGGCAGAGGGCUGUCUAGAGACAGGAGAUCCUCCAGGAAGCCACUGCACGGGUCCUGGCCAGAGAUGGAGAAUCCCUGAACAUGGGUGGCCCUGGGGAGACAGAAGGGGGCCAGAGGCAGGAGAUGUUAGAGAGAUGGAACUGGACAAUUUCCCAGCCCACAUCCUGAAAGGCAGGGAGCUCACGGUGAGGGCCUGGCACUCAUCUACAGGAAGUGGAACCGACAAAAGUGGAGGUGACUUCCCCCUGCGGUGACUAGCGUUCAGCAGAGGGGAUGGCCAGAAGAGAGGCUCAUGGGAAAGCAAGGAGUAAUGUGUUAAAGCUGAAGACAACAGCUUCUAGACGGCUACGAGGGAAACAGCAGAAGGAGGCAUCGGGUAGGGGGUGGCGGGUGGGGGUGGCUGCGGAGCUUCAGCACUCGGAGAUCUCUGAGAGGACAGAGCCCUGAGCAGUUCCCUGCUCCUCUGGGCAAGAUGUGCUGCCGGGAGCCCUCCUGCCCUGGGCGAAGAGUUGCCCCCAGAGAGCCCCUUGUGGCCACAUGCUGUACUGCAGGUUGGUGCUUGAAUAAGGGGCGCCAGGUUGCAGGGACCUGUAACCCAGGGGAGAGGUGUGUGCAGAGCCAGUUUCUCCAGGAAACCGGGAGCAGAAGGGCAAGGGAAGCCCAGACUCCUCCCCUUUGCCAGUUCAGAGAACACGAAACGUACCCUGGAGGCCCAUGCCUUCUCACACACUCUCUGAGUGAACACUAUCCACAGACGUGCUGAGGUGUGCCAUGGCCUGUGAACAGCUGGGAAACGGCUUUCCAGACACGCACACGCUGGUACACGAUACAGUAUGCACGUGACCUAUGAGUGCAGCAGCACGGAGCUGCUGAGAAGUAACCCCCCUGGAGAGCCAGCCUGCCCCACAGCUUCAGCCGGUGCUGACCAGGUGCUCAGUUUCUUAGGGAGGAACACUGUCUGCUUGGGGAUGGGGGGAGGUCCGGGAUGCUUACAUGGCAAAAUCAAGACCUUGUAAUGUAUAAAAGCUACUGAGAACAAAGCCCUGGUGCUCAGACUCUGGAGGUGACUCCUCUGAGCCCGCACCGGUACUAAAUAAACCUUGCUGUUCCAUAUCUCCGAGUGCUGUUUGUCUCCUUCCGUGGCCACAGUUUUUGCGGUUUCCACAACAAGGUCACCCCUCUUUUCUUUUCCCACUGGCACUUUCAUCAUCCCAGGACCCUGCCACAACGCAGCAUAUGUGGAUCAAGGGCAAAGUAGAAAAAUACGAUGUUUUUCAUAAAACUUUUCAUAAAGCUCAAUUCGUUUUUCAAAGACCUAUCCUUUGCUUUGAGAUCAUGUUCUGUCUCCUUGUUUUUUAAACAUUUUAUUUUGAAGUGCAGUUGACCCUUAAACAACACGAGUUUUAACUGCCUGGGUCCACUUAUAUGCAGGUUUUUUUGUUUUGUUUUGUUUUUAACUAAACACAUACUACAUACAGUAUGCAUGAUGCACAGCUGGUUGAAUCCACAGAUGUGGAACCAUGGAUUCAGAGGGCCAAGUGGAAAGUUACAUGUGGAUUUUCAUCUGGACACCCCUAACCCCACGUUGUUCAAGGGUCAGUUUAUCACUUUCAUACACAAAGUGUGCCAUGUAAGCACACCACUGAAUGACAUUUCAGAAAUUAGCUAAUGAAGACUCAGAACAUCACAACCCUGGAAGUGCCUCCUUCUGAUCAUGAAAGGGUCACCGUGACCCAGCUUCUAACACCAGAGAUAAAUGUUGCCUUCCAACUUUACAGAAGCAGAAUCACAGAGUGUGUGCUCUUUGACUCUGGUUUCUUUCCCCUAUCAUAUUUAUGAGAUUUGCCCAUGACUUUCCUGGCAAUCGUCUCUUCAUUUUCACUUCUAUACAGUAUUCUAU